rnacentral:rRNA from 1 species
AACGUAGGAGGCAAGCGUUAUCCGGAGUUACUGGGCGUAAAGCGCAUGUAGGCGGUUGGGCAAGUGGCGUGUGAAAGCUCCCGGCUAAACUGGGAGAGGACACGUCAGACUGUCCGGCUAGAGGCAGAUAGAGGGGCGCAGAAUUCGGGGUGUAGCGGUGAAAUGCGCAGAUAUCAGGAGGAACACCAGUGGCGAAGGCGGUGGUCUGGGCCGAUACUGACGCUGUAGAGCGAAAGCGUGGGGAGCGAACAGG